GCCGAAGUAACUCAGUGGUAGAGUGCUUUCCUCGUAAGAAAGAUGUCGUGAGUUCGAUCCUCAUCUUCGGCUC
rnacentral:tRNA from 1 species